rnacentral:rRNA from 1 species
UACGUAGGGGGCAAGCGUUGUCCGGAAUUAUUGGGCGUAAAGAGCGUGUAGGCGGCCAGAUAAGUCCGCUGUGAAAUCUCGAGGCUCAACUUCGAGCUGUCGGUGGAAACUAUCUGGCUAGAGUCCGGAAGAGGAGAAUGGAAUUCCUGGUGUAGCGGUGAAAUGCGCAGAUAUCAGGAAGAACGCCCGUGGCGAAGGCGGUUCUCUGGGACGGUACUGACGCUGAGACGCGAAAGCGUGGGGAGCGAACAGG